rnacentral:rRNA from 1 species
GACGAACGCUGGCGGCGUGCCUAAUACAUGCAAGUAGAACGCUGAAGGAGGAGCUUGCUUCUCUGGAUGAGUUGCGAACGGGUGAGUAACGCGUAGGUAACCUGCCUGGUAGCGGGGGAUAACUAUUGGAAACGAUAGCUAAUACCGCAUAAGAGUAGAUGUUGCAUGACAUUUGCUUAAAAGGUGCAAUUGCAUCACUACCAGACGGACCUGCGUUGUAUUAGCUAGUUGGUGAGGUAACGGCUCACCAAGGCGACGAUACAUAGCCGACCUGAGAGGGUGAUCGGCCACACUGGGACUGAGACACGGCCCAGACUCCUACGGGAGGCAGCAGUAGGGAAUCUUCGGCAAUGGACGGAAGUCUGACCGAGCAACGCCGCGUGAGUGAAGAAGGUUUUCGGAUCGUAAAGCUCUGUUGUAAGAGAAGAACGAGUGUGAGAGUGGAAAGUUCACACUGUGACGGUAUCUUACCAGAAAGGGACGGCUAACUACGUGCCAGCAGCCGCGGUAAUACGUAGGUCCCGAGCGUUGUCCGGAUUUAUUGGGCGUAAAGCGAGCGCAGGCGGUUAGAUAAGUCUGAAGUUAAAGGCUGUGGCUUAACCAUAGUACGCUUUGGAAACUGCUUAACUUGAGUGCAAGAGGGGAGAGUGGAAUUCCAUGUGUAGCGGUGAAAUGCGUAGAUAUAUGGAGGAACACCGGUGGCGAAAGCGGCUCUCUGGCUUGUAACUGACGCUGAGGCUCGAAAGCGUGGGAGCAACAGG